rnacentral:rRNA from 1 species
ACAAGCGGAGGAGCGCGUGGUUUAAUUCGAUGGCAAUCGAAGAACCUUACCAGGGUUUGACAUGUAUCUGCAUAUCUUUGGAAACAUAGAUAGCCUUCGAGGUGAUACACAGGUACUGCAUGGCCGUCGUCAGCUCGUGUCGUGAGAUGUAGGGUUAAGUCCCGAAACGAGCGCAACCCCUAUCCCAUGUUACAAGUGUCUUGGGAAACUGCCUCGGUAAAACGGGAAGGAAGGUGGGGAUGAUGUCUGGUCCGCAUAGUCCUUACGUCCUGGGCUACACACGCGCUACAAUGGUCGGUACAAUAGGCAGCCAAGCCGUAAGGCGGAGCUAAUCCUAAAAACCGAUCUCAGUUCGGAUUGUGGGCUGCAACUCGCCCACAUGAAGUUGGAUUCGCUAGUAAUCGUGGAUCAGCCAUGCCACGGUGAAUACGUUCUCGGGUCUU